AUGGAGGACAAACUUUGUGAUUGGUUUUGGAAUACAUUUUCACAGACAGAUACAUUUCUGAAAAUAUUUUGCUAUGGAGAAUCUCUGAACUUGACUUUAAAGCACUGUUUAGAGGACAAACUUUGUGAUUGGUUUUGGAAUACAUUUUCACAGACAGAUACAUUUUCACAGACGGCUCUUGACAUCUCUAAUAACCAAAUAAGUGGCAGCUUGCCAACACAUCUAGAUGGCAUGUCUUUUAAAAGACUCUACCUAAGUUCAAGUUCAAUGCCUUGGUUGCUGACAAAUAUCAACAGGUUCGACAUCUCCAACAAUAACUUUUCAGGACUGAUACCUUCACAUUUUGACGCUCCCCGGCUUCAAAUGUUGCUUAUCUAUUCAAAUCGAAUUGAUUCACAGAUUUGGAGUUUUGGAUCUUGCAUGGAACAAGUUGUCUGGAAGAUUGCAUACAUGGAUAGGAGAUCUGGGGAAAUUAUGUUUGUACUUUGGACCACACUGCAAUUUUUUCUGAUAUUCCAGUCAACGUAG
rnacentral:rRNA from 1 species